AACGAACGCUGGCGGCGUGCCUAACACAUGCAAGUCGAACGUGAUUGAAGAGCUUGCUCUUCAUGAAAGUGGCGCACGGGUGAGUAACGCGUAGAUAAUCUACCUGGUGAUUUGGGAUAACAGUUCGAAAGGACUGCUAAUACCGAAUAAGCCCACGGAGUCUUUGGAUUCUGCGGGAAAAGGGGGGGACCUUAUGGCCUUCCGUCAUCAGAUGAGUCUGCGUACCAUUAGCUAGUUGGUAGGGUAAAGGCCUACCAAGGCGACGAUGGUUAGCUGGUCUGAGAGGAUGAUCAGCCACACUGGAACUGAGACACGGUCCAGACUCCUACGGGAGGCAGCAGUGGGGAAUUUUGCGCAAUGGGGGAAACCCUGACGCAGCAACGCCGCGUGAGUGAUGAAGGCCCUUGGGUCGUAAAGCUCUGACAGAGGGAAAGAAAUGCAGGGGAGCUAAUAUCUCCUUUGCUUGACGGUACCCUCAAAGGAAGCACCGGCUAACUCCGUGCCAGCCGCCGCCGUAAAAC
rnacentral:rRNA from 1 species